CUGGCGGCGCACAUAAGACAUGCAAGUCGAACGGAAGCCGUUAUAAAUGAAACGGAUUGAAGAUUAUCAGAUUGAAGUAGAUUUAUAACAAUGACUUAGUGGCGGACUGGUGAGUAACGCGUGAGCAACCUGCCUAUUAGAGGGGAAUAACAGUGAGAAAUCAUUGCUAAUACCGCAUAAGCUUGUAGGAAUGCAUGUUCUAGCAAGAAAAGGAGAAAUCCGCUAAUAGAUGGGCUCGCGUCUGAUUAGCUAGUUGGUGUGGUAACGGCAUACCAAGGCAACGAUCAGUAGCCGAGCUGAGAGGCUCUACGGCCACAUUGGGACUGAGAUACGGCCCAGACUCCUACGGGAGGCAGCAGUCGGGAAUAUUGCGCAAUGGAGGAAACUCUGACGCAGUGACGCCGCGUAUAGGAAGAAGGUUUUAGGAUUGUAAACUAUUUUAGACAGGGAAGAGAAAAGACAGUACCUGUAGAAUAAGCUCCGGCUAACUACGUGCCAGCAGCGGC
rnacentral:rRNA from 1 species